UUUCACAGAGAAGGGGGAUUGCUUCGUCUCAGUGAGAGCCCCGUUCCCGUACACCGCUACAACACCGGAUCCUGCCAUUUUCGCCGGAAAAUGAAGCGAAUAAUAUGGCGGCGUAUGAGAGAGAAGGGUGAAGAAUCAGCCGCAGUGGAAAGGGUGGUGAAGAAGAAGAAGAGGAAGGAAGUGACGAGAAACUGAGGCAGAAAGUGGUGGUUUAAGUAAAGGAUGUUCUCGAAUGAUCUUAUCGAGAAGAGAAGCGUAGGCCACACGUCAAGCAUACGCGCGUGGAAUAGAUUGAAGUGGGUCCCAUGCAGUCGUUAAUAGUUGAAAAAAAGUAUUCGAAUCCAG
rnacentral:misc_RNA from 1 species